UGGUGGAGUGAUUUGUCUGGUUAAUUCCGUUAACGAACGAGACCUCGGCCUGCUAAAUAGUUUGCUAUAGUCUUCGGAUUAUAGAAAACUUCUUAGAGGGACUAUCGGUUUCUAAGCCGAUGGAAGUUCGAGGCAAUAACA
rnacentral:rRNA from 1 species